GGCUUAGAGUUUGAUCAUGGCUCAGGAUGAACGCUGGCGGCGUGCUUAACACAUGCAAGUCGAGCGAAGCACUUGAGACUGAUUUCUUCGGAAUGAAAUCUCAUUUGACUGAGCGGCGGACGGGUGAGUAACGCGUGGGUGACCUGCCCCAUACCGGGGGAUAACAGCUGGAGACGGCUGCUAAUACCGCAUAAGCGCACGGAGCUGCAUGGCUCAGUGUGAAAAACUCCGGUGGUAUGGGAUGGGCCCGCGUCUGAUUAGGCAGUUGGCGGGGUAACGGCCCACCAAACCGACGAUCAGUAGCCGACCUGAGAGGGCGACCGGCCACAUUGGGACUGAGACACGGCCCAAACUCCUACGGGAGGCAGCAGUGGGGAAUAUUGCACAAUGGGGGAAACCCUGAUGCAGCGACGCCGCGUGAGCGAAGAAGUAUUUCGGUAUGUAAAGCUCUAUCAGCAGGGAAGAUAAUGACGGUACCUGACUAAGAAGCCCCGGCUAACUACGUGCCAGCAGCCGCGGUAAUACGUAGGGGGCAAGCGUUAUCCGGAUUUACUGGGUGUAAAGGGAGCGUAGACGGCGAAGCAAGUCUGGUGUGAAAACCCGGGGCUCAACCCCGGGCCUGCAUUGGAAACUGUUUUGCUCGAGUGCCGGAGAGGUAAGCGGAAUUCCUAGUGUAGCGGUGAAAUGCGUAGAUAUUAGGAGGAACACCAGUGGCGAAGGCGGCUUACUGGACGGUAACUGACGUUGAGGCUCGAAAGCGUGGGGAGCAACAGGAUUAGAUACCCUGGUAGUCCACGCCGUANACGAUGAAUGCUANGUGUUGGGGAGCAAAGCUCUUCGGUGCCGCCGCAAACGCAUUAAGCAUUCCACCCUGGGAG
rnacentral:rRNA from 1 species